UAGAGUUUGAUCCUGGCUCAGAUUGAACGCUGGCGGCAGGCCUAACACAUGCAAGUCGAACGGUAACAGGAAGCAGCUUGCUGCUUUGCUGACGAGUGGCGGACGGGUGAGUAAUGUCUGGGAAACUGCCUGAUGGAGGGGGAUAACUACUGGAAACGGUAGCUAAUACCGCAUAACGUCGCAAGACCAAAGAGGGGGACCUUCGGGCCUCUUGCCAUCGGAUGUGCCCAGAUGGGAUUAGCUAGUAGGUGGGGUAACGGCUCACCUAGGCGACGAUCCCUAGCUGGUCUGAGAGGAUGACCAGCCACACUGGAACUGAGACACGGUCCAGACUCCUACGGGAGGCAGCAGUGGGGAAUAUUGCACAAUGGGCGCAAGCCUGAUGCAGCCAUGCCGCGUGUAUGAAGAAGGCCUUCGGGUUGUAAAGUACUUUCAGCGGGGAGGAAGGGAGUAAAGUUAAUACCUUUGCUCAUUGACGUUACCCGCAGAAGAAGCACCGGCUAACUCCGUGCCAGCAGCCGCGGUAAUACGGAGGGUGCAAGCGUUAAUCGGAAUUACUGGGCGUAAAGCGCACGCAGGCGGUUUGUUAAGUCAGAUGUGAAAUCCCCGGGCUCAACCUGGGAACUGCAUCUGAUACUGGCAAGCUUGAGUCUCGUAGAGGGGGGUAGAAUUCCAGGUGUAGCGGUGAAAUGCGUAGAGAUCUGGAGGAAUACCGGUGGCGAAGGCGGCCCCCUGGACGAAGACUGACGCUCAGGUGCGAAAGCGUGGGGAGCAAACAGGAUUAGAUACCCUG
rnacentral:rRNA from 1 species